AGUGAACGCUGGCGGCGUGCUUAACACAUGCAAGUCGAACGAGAACGGGUUAUAGCUUGCUAUAAUUGUCAGCUAAGUGGCGCACGGGUGAGUAAUGUAUAGGUAAUAUGCCUCUUACUAAGGGAUAACAAAUGGAAACGUUUGCUAAUACCUUAUACUCCUUAUUAACAGAAGUUAAUAAGGGAAAGAUUUAUUGGUAAGAGAUUAGCCCGUAUUGUAUCAGUUAGUUGGUGGGGUAAUGGCUUACCAAGACUAUGACACAUAACUGGUUUGAGAGGAUGAUCAGUCACACGGGAACUGAGACACGGUCCAGACUCCUACGGGAGGCAGCAGUGGGGAAUAUUGCACAAUGGACGAAAGUCUGAUGCAGCAACGCCGCGUGGAGGAUGACACAUUUCGGUGCGUAAACUCCUUUUAUAUGAGAAGAUAAUGACGGUAUUAUAUGAAUAAGCACCGGCUAACUCCGUGCCAGCCGCCGCCGUAA
rnacentral:rRNA from 1 species